GGGGAUGUAGCUCAGUUGGUAGAGUACUUGCCUAGCACGCACAAGGCCCUGAGUUCAAUCCCCAGCACUUCCU